rnacentral:rRNA from 1 species
UACAGAGGUGGCAAGCGUUUGUUCGGAAUUACUGGGCGUAAAGGGCGCGUAGGCGGUUCUUCCAAGUCUUGUGUGAAAUCCCUCGGCUCAACUGAGGAACUGCACGGGAUACGUGGAAGACUUGAGUUCGGGAGAGGGAAGCGGAAUUCCGGGUGUAGCGGUGAAAUGCGUAGAUAUCCGGAGGAACACCGGUGGCGAAGGCGGCUCCUGGACCGAUCACUGACGGCUGAGGCGCGAAAGCUAGGGGAGCAAA